rnacentral:rRNA from 1 species
AGGAAACAAGGGCACAUGGUGGAUGCCUAGGCUCUACAUAGCGAUGAAGGACGUGAUAUGGCGGCGAUACGCUUCGGGGAGGUGCCUAAUAACCUUUGAUCCGGAGAUCUCCGAAUGGGGGAACCCUAGAAAGUGAACCUUUCUAAUCUAACAGCUUGACUGUUAGGAGCGCACCCAGGGAAGUGAAACAUCUCAGUACCUGGAGGAAAAGAAACCAAAUAGUAUUUCCUGAGUAGCGGCGAGCGAAACGGAAGAAGCCCAAACCUGUCCAAUAUUGGUUGUUUGAAACUUGUUUUGAACAACCAAUAUUGGACGGGGGUUGUAAGGUAACAACGACGUUUUACGUAAAAAGUUACAAAAUGUGGUAAUAGAAAAAUGUGCUGGAAAGCACAACCAUAGGAGGUGAUAGUCCUGUAUUCGAAAUUACUCACAUCUUUUUUGUUGUUAUUCUUGAGUACCUCAAGACAUGAAUAGCUUGGGGGAAUCUGCCGGAACUAACCGGUAAGGCUAAAUAUAUGUAGGGACCGAUAGUGAACUAGUACCGUGAGGGAAAGGUGAAAAGUAUCCCGAGAGGGAGGUGAAAUAGACCUGAAACCAUGUGUCUACAAGGAGUCGGAGAGGGCAUUUAUGUCCUCCACGGCGUGCCUAUUGAAGAAUGAGCCAACGAGUUUAUGUAUGCUGCCUGGCUAAGCUCUUUACGGAGUGGAGCCUCAGGGAAACCGAGUGUUAAUAGCGCGAUUUUGUAGUAUACAUAAGACCCGAAGCCAGAUGAGCUUACCAUGAGCAGGAUGAACCCUUUCGAGAGAAAGGGGGAGGUCCGAACCCGUAUGCCGUUCAACACAUUGGGAUGACUUGUGGUAAGGAGUGAAAAGCUAAUCGAAUCUGGUAAUAGCUGGUUCUCUCCGAAAUAACUUUAGGGUUAGCGUUUGUUUUAUCCUCUGGGGGUAGAGCACUGGAAGGUAUUGAUAGGGAGAAAUCUCGCGAUACCUAUCAAACUCCGAAUACUAGAGAUUAAUUAACAAACAGUUAGACUAUGGGGGCUAAGCUCCAUCAGUCAAAAGGGAAACAGCCCAGAUCUAUAAAUAAGGUCCCUAAAUCGAUACUAAGUGCAAAACGAGGAUGUGAUAUUUCUUAGACAAUGAGGAGGUCGGCUUAGAAGCAGCCAUCCUUGAAAGAAAGCGUAACAGCUCACUCAUCAAGAGAUUUCGCGCCGAAAAUAAUCGGGGCUAAGUAUCGUACCGAAUUUUAGGAUUGCAUCGAUGUUCGCAUCGAUGUAGUGGUAGGAGAGUAUUCCACUCUUGCGUUGAAGCCGAAGGCGUGAGCCACGGUGGAGCGUGUGGAAGUAAGAAUGUUGGCACAAGUAACCGCAAGCAAGGUGAGAGCCCUUGCCGCCGAAAAACCGAGGUUUCCUUCGCAACGAUGAUCGACGAAGGGUUAGUCGGGCCUAAGGGGAUGGUGAAAACCGAACCCGAUGGACAUACGGUUAAUAUUCCGUAACUUCUUAAAAGUGCGAUGGGAGGACGGAGUGUAGUAGAGAUAGCAGAUUAUUGGAUUUCUGUUGAUUGCAUAAGUGUUCUGUCUAGGUAAAUCCGGACAGUAUAAGCGCAAGUGUCGUCAAAAUGUCUAAGUACGCUUAGGCAAAUUAUCUUGAGCACGCUUCCGAGAAAAGUCUCUAAGCAUAACUUUUAAGAAUCCGUACCGCAAACCGACACAGGUGGUUGGGUCGAGAAGACCAAGGCGAACGAGUGAGAGAUCCCCAAGGAACUCGGCAAAAUAGCAGCCGUAACUUUGGAAUAAGGCUUGCCCUUCACUACUUUGGAUAUUUCCAAAAAAGUGAAAGAGUUAAGUAAAGAAAAUAAAUAAGUAUAAACAACAAAAGAUAUACGAGAUAAUCGAGACAUAAAAUUAUAACUCUUUGUUAUUUUUUACACGGAAGUGUUUAAAGUAGUGGAGGGCCGCAGCGAAAGACUCCCUGGCAACUGUUUAUCAAAAACACAGCUCCCUGCGAACUCGUAAGAGUAUGUAUAGGGGGUGACACCUGACCAAUGCUAGAAGGUUAAAUAUUGGCGGUUUGCAUCAUAAUUGAGCGUGAUAUUUUCAAGUCAGAAAUAAAAAGUCAAAAGUCAAAACUUUUGAGUUUUAAAUUUCUAAUUUUGAAUUCUUAUCGUGCUCAGCUUGAUGCAAGCUGACUGAUAUAAGCCCUAGUGAAUGUCGGCCGUAACUAUAACGGUCCUAAGGUAGCGAAAUUCCUUGUCUGGUAAGUUCAGACGCGCACGAAUGGUGUAAUGACUGGGGAACUGUCUCGGGGAUUUGCUCGGUGAAAAUACAAUACCGGUGAAGAUGCCGGUUACCUGCAGUUAGACGAAAAGACCCCGGAAGCUUUACUACAGCUUGGUAUUGUGUAUAUUGAGUGACUGCGUAGCAUAGGUGGGAGACUUUGAAGCUAUCCUUUUGGGGAUAGUGGAGUCGUCAGUGAAAUACCACUCUUUCUAUUGAUAUAUGCUAAUCAAAACGGCAAAAACGUUUCGAGACAGUAUCUGGCGGGUAGUUUGACUGGGGUGGUUUCCUCCUAAAGAGUAACGGAGGAGUUUACAAAGGUCAGCUAGGCGCGAAUGGAAACCGUGCCGAUAGUGUAAGGGCAUAAGCUGGCUUGACUGUAAGGGGUACAUCCCGAGCAGGCACGAAAGUGGAACCUAGUGAACCGACAGUACGCAUUAGACGCGGCUGAAGAUUAACGGAUAAAAGCUACUCCGGGGAUAACAGGCUAGUUCCGCCUAAGCGUCCAUAGCGACGGCGGAGUUCGGCACCUCGAUGUCGGCUCACCUUAACCUGGGGGUGGAGAAGCUCCCAAGGGUAUGGCUGUUCGCCAUUUAAAAAGGUACGCGAGCUGGGUUCAAACCGUCGUGAGACAGGUUGGUCUCCUAUCUACUGCAGGCGUUGAUUCUUGAGAAGAUUUGCUCCUAGUACGAGAGGACCGGAGUGAACUGACCUCUGGUGUAGUGGCUCUUGCGCCCGCGGGACCGCCACGUAGCUAUGUUGGGAAUGGAUAACCUCUGAAAGCAUCUAAGAGGGAAGCCAACUUCAAGAUGAGGAAUCAUUUGAGGGCCCAGAGAGAUGAUCUGGUUGAUAGGCUUUAGGUGUAAGCACAGUGAUGUGUUCAGCCGAGAAGUACUAAUUACCCGAU